rnacentral:rRNA from 1 species
UACAGAGGUCCCAAGCGUUGUUCGGAUUCAUUGGGCGUAAAGGGUGCGUAGGCGGCGGGGCAAGUCUGAUGUGAAAUCCCGGGGCUCAACCCCGGAACUGCAUUGGAUACUGCCUUGCUUGAGUACUGGAGAGGAGACUGGAAUUUACGGUGUAGCAGUGAAAUGCGUAGAUAUCGUAAGGAAGGCCAGUGGCGAGGGCGAGUCUCUGGACAGUUACUGACGCUGAGGCACGAAGGCCAGGGGAGCAAACGGG